rnacentral:lncRNA from 1 species
GUGCGGAGGUAUGUGGCGAGUGCCCCCCGGGGACCUACUGUCUCUCAGGGGAGGGCGUGGAGCCCUGCCCAGCGGGCCACUACUGUCUGGGUGGGGGUGUCGAGGCCAUCCUGCCGUGCCCUCCUGGCACAUACAGCCCUCAGUUCGGCCUCAGCCAAGUGGAGCAGUGCCUCAUCUGUCCAGCAGGUGAGAGUGUUGCCUCUUGGAUGUCUUUAUCGCUCUCUUUCUGAGACACUUUAUUGUCCUAAGCUGUAUUUGGUGAAUGUGUUGAAAAGUAUGUAAAUAUAGGCAAAUCGCAUUUCUUCAAAUAAGAGAAGGAAUGUAUUGUUAUACUGAGUGAUUUCUUAACAAGACUCUUAACUGCUUUGCAUUUUACAGGCUUCUACUGUGAGGACUGGGGUCUGUUUGAACCCACUGGGCCGUGUCAGGCGGGCUACUACUGCAUAGCAGGCGUGAACUUUCAGAAUCCAGAUGGGAACUUCAGCACAGGAGUUGGGGGAGCGUGUCCUCUGGGGAGGUACUGUCACGAGGGCACCAGUCUGCCUCUGCCAUGUCCACCAGGGACCUACUCUAAUAGGUUUGCUAUAAAUAUGACAAUUACAUGCAGCACUUUCAGCUGUUUCCCUUUUUUACUACAUAUGUAUGUGUGUGUGGUUGUAGCCUUUACCUGACAGACCCCUCUGGCUGUAGUCCAUGUCCGGCGGGAUACUUCUGUGGCACUGUAGGCCUCACUCGUCCAUCUGGACUGUGUGAGGAAGGGUUUUACUGUCCAGGGGGAGACACAACAUCUACAGGCUCAGCGGGGGGUCCUUGCCCACCAGCUCAUUACUGCCCUGAGGGGAGUGGCAGCCCGUUGCCCUGCCCCGCUGGAACGUACACCAAUCUCACAGGCCAGCCACUGUGCUCCCGCUGUCCCGCUGGAUACUACUGUCCAGAAAAGACUGGCAACUUCAGCAAGUUCCCCUGUCCCCCUGGAUUCUACUGCCUCGACGGUACUAGACACUCCACGCAGUUUCCCUGUCCUCGUGGAUAUUACAACCCAGAGCCCAUGACUCAGAGUCUGGACAGCUGCUUGCCUUGUCCUCCAGGCCACUACUGUGAGAAGGAGAGGCUGACCAAAGUAUCUGGAAAAUGCAAGGCCGGUUAGUAAUAUUGCAUUUUCAUCAAAAAUACAGCUGCGACCAUAAAGCCUAGUUGUCCGGCUUUGCUAG